rnacentral:rRNA from 1 species
AGGAUGAACGCUGGCGGCGUGCUUAACACAUGCAAGUCGAACGAUGAAGCAGAGCUUGCUCUGUGGAUUAGUGGCGAACGGGUGAGUAACACGUGAGUAACCUGCCCUUGACUCUGGAAUAAGCGUUGGAAACGACGUCUAAUACCGGAUACGAGCUUCCGCCGCAUGGUGAGGAGUUGGAAAGAAUUUCGGUCAAGGAUGGACUCGCGGCCUAUCAGGUAGUUGGUGAGGUAAUGGCUCACCAAGCCUACGACGGUAGCCGGCCUGAGAGGGUG